rnacentral:rRNA from 1 species
UACAGAGGUCUCAAGCGUUGUUCGGAUUCAUUGGGCGUAAAGGGUGCGUAGGCGGCGCGGUAAGUCGGGUGUGAAAUCUCGGAGCUUAACUCCGAAACUGCAUUCGAUACUGCCGUGCUUGAGGACUGGAGAGGAGACUGGAAUUUACGGUGUAGCGGUGAAAUGCGUAGAUAUCGUAAGGAAGACCAGUGGCGAAGGCGGGUCUCUGGACAGUUCCUGACGCUGAGGCGCGAAGGCGAGGGGAGCAAACGGG